rnacentral:rRNA from 1 species
GACACAGAAGGAUAGGGAAUCGCACGAAUGGAAAUGUGCGUCCAAGCAGUGAGUGUGAGAAGUAGGCAAAUCCGCUUCUCGCGAAGCAUGAGCUGUGAUGGGGAAGGAAAUUAAGUACGGAAGUUCCUGAUUUCACGCUGUCAAGAAAAGCCUCUAGGAAGAGUAGUACUGCCCGUACCGCAAACCGACACAGGUAGAUGAGGAGAGAAU